CCUACGGGUGGCAGCAGUGGGGAAUAUUGGACAAUGGGCGAAAGCCUGAUCCAGCCAUGCCGCGUGUGUGAAGAAGGCCUUCGGGUUGUAAAGCACUUUCAGUGGGGAAGAAAGCCUUGGGGCUAAUACCCUCGAGGAAGGACAUCACCCACAGAAGAAGCACCGGCUAACUCCGUGCCAGCAGCCGCGGUAAUACGGAGGGUGCGAGCGUUAAUCGGAAUUACUGGGCGUAAAGCGCGCGUAGGCGGUCUGAUAAGCCGGUUGUGAAGGCCCCGGGCUCAACCUGGGAACGGCAUCCGGAACUGUCAGGCUAGAGUGCAGGAGAGGAAGGUAGAAUUCCCGGUGUAGCGGUGAAAUGCGUAGAGAUCGGGAGGAAUACCAGUGGCGAAGGCGGCCUUCUGGACUGACACUGACGCUGAGGUGCGAAAGCGUGGGUAGCAAACAGGAUUAGAUACCCGAGUAGUC
rnacentral:rRNA from 1 species